rnacentral:rRNA from 1 species
GAUGGAGGGGGAUAACUACUGGAAACGGUAGCUAAUACCGCAUAACGUCGCAAGACCAAAGAGGGGGACCUUCGGGCCUCUUGCCAUCGGAUGUGCCCAGAUGGGAUUAGCUAGUAGGUGGGGUAACGGCUCACCUAGGCGACGAUCCCUAGCUGGUCUGAGAGGAUGACCAGCCACACUGGAACUGAGACACGGUCCAGACUCCUACGGGAGGCAGCAGUGGGGAAUAUUGCACAAU